rnacentral:rRNA from 1 species
GCAAGUCGAACGAGGGCUCCGGUGCCUGCACUGGAAGACCCGAGUGGCGAACGGGUGAGUAACACGUGACCAACCUGUCCUAGGGUGAGGGACAACCCGGGGAAACCUGGGCUAAUACCGCAUGAUGUCACACUUCCGCAUGGUCGUGUGAUCAAAGAGGGCCUCUAUUUAUAAGCUCUCGCCCAAGGAGGGGGUCGCGACGUAUCAGCUUGUUGGUAGGGUAACGGCCUACCAAGGCUACGACGCGUAGCGGAUCUGAGAGGAUGAUCCGUCACAUUGGGACUGAGAUACGGCCCAGACUCCUACGGGAGGCAGCAGUAGGGAAUAUUGCGCAAUGGGCGAAAGCCUGACGCAGCGACGCCGCGUGUGGGAGGAAGCCUUUCGGGGUGUAAACCACUGUCAGAGGGGAAGAACCGCGACAUUUCGAACAGAGUGUCGUCUGACGGUACCCUCAGAGGAAGCGCCGGCUAACUCCGUGCCAGCAGCCGCGGUAAGACGGAGGGCGCAAGCGUUGUUCGGAAUUACUGGGCGUAAAGCGCGGGCAGGUGGUCCGUUAAGUCGUCUGUGAAAAUCCGGGGCUCAACCCCGUGAAAUGCAGGCGAUACUGGCGGACUAGAGAUCGGUAGAGGCUAACGGAAUUCCUGGUGUAGCGGUGGAAUGCGUAGAUAUCAGGAAGAACACCAGUGGCGAAGGCGGUUAGCUGGGCCGAGUCUGACACUCAUCCGCGAAAGCGUGGGGAGCAAACAG